rnacentral:snRNA from 1 species
AAAGGAUUGGCUCUGAGGGC